AACACCUGGAAACAGAUGCUAAUACCGCAUAACAACUUGGACCGCAUGGUCCGAGCUUGAAAGAUGCCUUCGGCUAUCACUUUUGGAUGGUCCCGCGGCGUAUUAGCUAGAUGGUGGGGUAACGGCUCACCAUGGCAAUGAUACGUAGCCGACCUGAGAGGGUAAUCGGCCACAUUGGGACUGAGACACGGCCCAAACUCCUACGGGAGGCAGCAGUAGGGAAUCUUCCACAAUGGACGAAAGUCUGAUGGAGCAACGCCGCGUGAGUGAAGAAGGGUUUCGGCUCGUAAAACUCUGUUGUUAAAGAAGAACAUAUCUGAGAGUAACUGUUCAGGUAUUGACGGUAUUUAACCAGAAAGCCACGGCUAACUACGUGCCAGCAGCCGCGGUAAUACGUAGGUGGCAAGCGUUGUCCGGAUUUAUUGGGCGUAAAGCGAGCGCAGGCGGUUUUUUAAGUCUGAUGUGAAAGCCUUCGGCUCAACCGAAGAAGUGCAUCGGAAACUGGGGAACUUGAGUGCAGAAGAGGACAGUGGAACUCCAUGUGUAGCGGUGAAAUGCGUAAAUAUAUGGAAGAACACCAGUGGCUAAUGCCGCUGUCUGGUCUGUAACUGACGCCUGAGGCCUCGAAAAGUAUGGGU
rnacentral:rRNA from 1 species